rnacentral:lncRNA from 1 species
UUUGCUAAUGAAAUAUUUCAAAGCCUUCAGCAAAAGACCAAGGACACCGCCAAAGCAUGGCUUGAUGAGCAGUGUGUAGGUCUGCCCCCGGGAUCUGAACCCACAAACCCUGGGCAGCUGAAGUGGAGUGUCCUAACCUAACCACUACGCCACUGGGCUGGCCCCAGAAGUUUUUAAUUAAGAGGGAUUCAGUAAGGAAGACAAGUAAAGGUUUAGAAGUCAGCUUUUCCAGUUGGCCUGACUUCCAUGGCUUGCUUUUAUCCAUAAACUCUAUCAGCUGAGGAAACCUGAGGACAUCUUUGAAGUUGGCAGAGCAUAUGUGACCCACGUAUGUGAACCAUUUGAAGUAUGCCAUGGAUAUCUGCAUGAAAGUUCUAGACUUGUUGGUGGUCCUCUCCAAUUUUUCUGCCUUGUUGGCCUCUUGGCCUUCUGUUUGGGACUCAUGCUUCAAGCUUUUUCCUUCAUCUAGCCCUUUGGAUGACCGUCUCAAUUUUGGACUUACAACCAGGACUUCAAAGCACUUUGUUAGGUCUCAAUCCUAAAGUUCUACUUCUCUAUUUAUGAAUCAGAACUGUGAAUGAGCACAUUCUUACAUUGUGGAAUCUGCUCUG